UACGUAGGGUGCAAGCGUUGUCCGGAAUUAUUGGGCGUAAAGAGCUCGUAGGCGGUCUGUCGCGUCUGCUGUGAAAACUCAGGGCUUAACCCUGAGCUUGCAGUGGGUACGGGCAGACUAGAGUGCGGUAGGGGAGACUGGAAUUCCUGGUGUAGCGGUGAAGUGCGCAGAUAUCAGGAGGAACACCGGUGGCGAAGGCGGGUCUCUGGGCCGUAACUGACGCUGAGGAGCGAAAGCAUGGGGGAGCGAACAGG
rnacentral:rRNA from 1 species